rnacentral:rRNA from 1 species
UUGGUUAAGUUAGAAAGGGCGCACGGUGGAUGCCUUGACACUAGGAGUCGAUGAAGGACGGGACUAACGCCGAUAUGCUUCGGGGAGCUGUAAGUAAGCUUUGAUCCGAAGAUUUCCGAAUGGGGAAACCCACCAUACGUAAUGGUAUGGUAUCCUUAUCUGAAUACAUAGGGUAAGGAAGACAGACCCAGGGAACUGAAACAUCUAAGUACCUGGAGGAAGAGAAAGCAAAUGCGAUUUCCUGAGUAGCGGCGAGCGAAACGGAACAUAGCCCAAACCAAGAGGCUUGCCUCUUGGGGUUGUAGGACAUUCUAUACGGAGUUACAAAGGAACGAGGUAGACGAAGCGACCUGGAAAGGUCCGUCGUAGAGGGUAACAACCCCGUAGUCGAAACUUCGUUCUCUCUUGAAUGUAUCCUGAGUACGGCGGAACACGUGAAAUUCCGUCGGAAUCUGGGAGGACCAUCUCCCAAGGCUAAAUACUCCCUAGUGAUCGAUAGUGAACCAGUACCGUGAGGGAAAGGUGAAAAGCACCCCGGAAGGGGAGUGAAAGAGAUCCUGAAACCGUGUGCCUACAAAUAGUCAGAGCCCGUUAACGGGUGAUGGCGUGCCUUUUGUAGAAUGAACCGGCGAGUUACGAUCCCGUGCGAGGUUAAGCUGAAGAGGCGGAGCCGCAGCGAAAGCGAGUCUGAAUAGGGCGUUUAGUACGUGGUCGUAGACCCGAAACCAGGUGAUCUACCCAUGUCCAGGGUGAAGUUCAGGUAACACUGAAUGGAGGCCCGAACCCACGCACGUUGAAAAGUGCGGGGAUGAGGUGUGGGUAGCGGAGAAAUUCCAAUCGAACCUGGAGAUAGCUGGUUCUCCCCGAAAUAGCUUUAGGGCUAGCCUUAAGUGUAAGAGUCUUGGAGGUAGAGCACUGAUUGGACUAGGGGUCCUCAUCGGAUUACCGAAUUCAGUCAAACUCCGAAUGCCAAUGACUUAUCCUUAGGAGUCAGACUGCGAGUGAUAAGAUCCGUAGUCAAAAGGGAAACAGCCCAGACCGCCAGCUAAGGUCCCAAAGUGUGUAUUAAGUGGAAAAGGAUGUGGAGUUGCUUAGACAACUAGGAUGUUGGCUUAGAAGCAGCCACCAUUUAAAGAGUGCGUAAUAGCUCACUAGUCGAGUGACUCUGCGCCGAAAAUGUACCGGGGCUAAAUACACCACCGAAGCUGCGGAUUGAUACCAAUGGUAUCAGUGGUAGGGGAGCGUUCUAAGGACAGUGAAGUCAGACCGGAAGGACUGGUGGAGUGCUUAGAAGUGAGAAUGCCGGUAUGAGUAGCGAAAGACGGGUGAGAAUCCCGUCCACCGAAUGCCUAAGGUUUCCUGAGGAAGGCUCGUCCGCUCAGGGUUAGUCAGGACCUAAGCCGAGGCCGACAGGCGUAGGCGAUGGACAACAGGUUGAUAUUCCUGUACCACCUCUUUAUCGUUUGAGCAAUGGAGGGACGCAGAAGGAUAGAAGAAGCGUGCGAUUGGUUGUGCACGUCCAAGCAGUUAGGCUGAUAAGUAGGCAAAUCCGCUUAUCGUAAAGGCUGAGCUGUGAUGGGGAAGCUCCUUAUGGAGCGAAGUCUUUGAUUCCCCGCUGCCAAGAAAAGCUUCUAGCGAGAUAAAAGGUGCCUGUACCGCAAACCGACACAGGUAGGCGAGGAGAGAAUCCUAAGGUGUGCGAGAGAACUCUGGUUAAGGAACUCGGCAAAAUGACCCCGUAACUUCGGGAGAAGGGGUGCUUUCUUAACGGAAAGCCGCAGUGAAUAGGCCCAAGCGACUGUUUAGCAAAAACACAGCUCUCUGCGAAGCCGUAAGGCGAAGUAUAGGGGGUGACACCUGCCCGGUGCUGGAAGGUUAAGGAGAGGGGUUAGCGUAAGCGAAGCUCUGAACUGAAGCCCCAGUAAACGGCGGCCGUAACUAUAACGGUCCUAAGGUAGCGAAAUUCCUUGUCGGGUAAGUUCCGACCCGCACGAAAGGUGUAACGAUUUGGGCACUGUCUCAACCAGAGACUCGGUGAAAUUAUAGUACCUGUGAAGAUGCAGGUUACCCGCGACAGGACGGAAAGACCCCGUGGAGCUUUACUGUAGCCUGAUAUUGAAUUUUGGUACAGUUUGUACAGGAUAGGCGGGAGCCAUUGAAACCGGAGCGCUAGCUUCGGUGGAGGCGCUGGUGGGAUACCGCCCUGACUGUAUUGAAAUUCUAACCUACGGGUCUUAUCGACCCGGGAGACAGUGUCAGGUGGGCAGUUUGACUGGGGCGGUCGCCUCCUAAAGUGUAACGGAGGCGCCCAAAGGUUCCCUCAGAAUGGUUGGAAAUCAUUCGUAGAGUGCAAAGGCAUAAGGGAGCUUGACUGCGAGACCUACAAGUCGAGCAGGGACGAAAGUCGGGCUUAGUGAUCCGGUGGUUCCGCAUGGAAGGGCCAUCGCUCAACGGAUAAAAGCUACCCCGGGGAUAACAGGCUUAUCUCCCCCAAGAGUCCACAUCGACGGGGAGGUUUGGCACCUCGAUGUCGGCUCAUCGCAUCCUGGGGCUGUAGUCGGUCCCAAGGGUUGGGCUGUUCGCCCAUUAAAGCGGUACGCGAGCUGGGUUCAGAACGUCGUGAGACAGUUCGGUCCCUAUCCGUCGUGGGCGUAGGAAAUUUGAGAGGAGCUGUCCUUAGUACGAGAGGACCGGGAUGGACGCACCGCUGGUGUACCAGUUGUUCUGCCAAGGGCAUAGCUGGGUAGCUAUGUGCGGAAGGGAUAAGUGCUGAAAGCAUCUAAG